UAGAACAUGGAAUGGGGUUAUCCUGGCUACCAGCAUACUCAAGAGGAUGAAGGUUUUAUGGCUGCAUAGAAAACCUUGGGCUGCAGGGUAUCCUUAUUGCCUUUCCAGGAGGAAAGUCUUGGUUUAAGAUGUAGAACACAUGUGUAUUUCUGGUUUAGUGCUCCUUUUUACCCAACCUACAUUAAAAUACGUAAAUCCAAGGGUUGCUUUAAAAUAAUGCACAUAACUGACUAAUGGAUCAAAAAGCCUGGAUUCUGUUCUUCAUUGUGGUUGUAAAUUUUCAGUUACUCUGCAAAGUCCUAUGAAUACCUAUGCCUCACUCUUUCUGCAAAACACUGAAGAAAGACCACCGGGGAACUCCUUUAGCUGUGACAUUGUAAUGGAAGGUGGAGACACCUCGAGGAGAAGGUCGAGACAGGCAACAGCAAUUACAGUCAAUAACAUCCUGACUUGCCUCUAUUACAGAAACCUCAGAAGAACUGUACACCCUUCAAAUCUGUGUUGAUGUGUUUUAAAUGUAUGAUAUGGAGCACAUCCACUCUCAGUGGGUUGCAGGAAGGAGCCAUAAAAUCAUAACACAUCUUUGGAGGGACAAACCACCAACAGCAGAAGACAGAGGAAACUUCGUGGUAUUGCAACCGAGCAGCCCCAGUGAUUUAUAUUAAACUUUUUUAGACUUUG